AGUGAACGCUGGCGGUAGGCCUAACACAUGCAAGUCGAACGGCAGCACAGUAAGAGCUUGCUCUUACGGGUGGCGAGUGGCGGACGGGUGAGGAAUACAUCGGAAUCUACUUUUUCGCGGGGGAUAACGUAGGGAAACUUACGCUAAUACCGCAUACGACCUACGGGUGAAAGCAGGGGAUCUUCGGACCUUGCGCGAUUGAAUGAGCCGAUGUCGGAUUAGCUAGUUGGCGGGGUAAAGGCCCACCAAGGCGACGAUCCGUAGCUGGUCUGAGAGGAUGAUCAGCCACACUGGAACUGAGACGCGGUCCAGACUCCUACGGGAGGCAGCAGUGGGGAAUAUUGGACAAUGGGCGCAAGCCUGAUCCAGCCACACCGCGUGGGUGAAGAAGGCCUUCGGGUUGUAAAGCCCUUUUGUUGGGAAAGAAAAGCAGCAGGUUAAUACCCCGCUGUUCUGACGGUACCCAAAGAAUAAGCACCGGCUAACUUCGUG
rnacentral:rRNA from 1 species